GUCUUUAUGAAUUUUAUGUAAAGUCUAGCCUGCCCAGUGAUAAUUGAAUUUAACGGCCGCGGUAGCAUGACCGUGCUAAGGUAGCAUAAUCAUUUGUCCUUUAAUUGAGGACUGGUAUAAAUGGCUGCACAAGAAAUUGUCUGUCUCUACUAUAAAAUUUGAAAUUCACAUUUAAGUGAAAAGGCUUAAAUGGAAUAGGGGGACGAUAAGACCCUAUAAAUCUUUACAAUUAGGGCUUUAGUUAUUAGAAAGUAGUUAUGGAUCUAAAUCUAAGGUUUAAAUUGUUUUGUUGGGGCGACAGAAGUAUAAUAAGUAACUGCUUUGGUUUUCAUAUUAAUUGUUUUUAUUAUGGUUAGUUUAAAAGAUCCUCUUUUGGAGAUCACAGACUAAGUUACUUUAGGGAUAACAGCGUAAUCUUUCUUGAGAGUUCAUAUCGAAAGAAGGGUUUGCGACCUCGAUGUUGAAUUAAAGAACCUUUAUGGUGUAGUCGCUAUAAGAGGAGGUCUGUUCGACCUUUAAAUC
rnacentral:rRNA from 1 species